rnacentral:rRNA from 1 species
CAGCAGCCGCGGGAAAACAGAGGGUGCGAGCGUUAAUCGGAUUUACUGGGCGUAAAGCGUGCGUAGGCGGCUUUUUAAGUCGGAUGUGAAAUCCCUGAGCUUAACUUAGGAAUUGCAUUCGAUACUGGGAAGCUAGAGUAUGGGAGAGGAUGGUAGAAUUCCAGGUGUAGCGGUGAAAUGCGUAGAGAUCUGGAGGAAUACCGAUGGCGAAGGCAGCCAUCUGGCCUAAUACUGACGCUGAGGUACGAAAGCAUGGGGAGCAAACAGGAUUAGAGACCCGAGUAGUCCCUGUCUCUUAUAC